rnacentral:rRNA from 1 species
CGUGCCAACGGCAUUGCUGGGUAGCUAUGUAUGGACGGGAUAAGUGCUGAAAGCAUCUAAGCAUGAAGCCCCCCUCAAGAUGAGAUUUCCCCAUUAGAUCCCUCAGAGAUGAUGAGGUGCAUACGAUCGCGUGUACGUGUGGUGACACAUUCAGCGGACGAAUACUAAUCGAUCGAUGACUUAUUCAAG